rnacentral:lncRNA from 1 species
GGAAACCUCAAUGCUGCGGGUUAUCUACAGCCGUAAAGAGGGCACUUCCUGUUUGCUUCUUUCUGGUACAGGAAUUAGCUCCUGGCAUAGUCUGGGAGCUGUGGGAGGCAGCAGAGGUAGCUCCUGCUUCUGCAUCAUGAAGGAAGUUGCACUUGUUCCCACAGAAACAGGAUAUCAUUGACCACAUCUGACAUGACAACACAGCAAGGAAAUGGAGCACCUUUGAACUGCAACAUAUCAUCACCCGGAGCUCGACAGAAACCCAGGCCCUCAGCUAUCCCCAUCCCCUGCUCUCCAGCCAAGACCCGGGGAGUCAGCACCUGCAUUUUCGCAAGCUCCCCAGGUGGUUUGUAGCACACUGAAGUGCCAGUAGCACUGUCUUUCAGAACUAUGCCAAGGCCAGACAGUGGCAGGGACUCAACCACACUCUGCCCCACAUGAGGAGGUUGACAGAACGCAGAGAGGGCCCAGGGACGAGGCCCAGGCCAGGCAUUUGGGGAAACACAACAGGAGGCACAGCCCAGGGGGCUGAGUCUGUGCCCAGCGACCUGGCUGGAAAGCAAUCCCAAAUCUCUCCCGCUCUGAGGACUCUGUGUGGUUAGAAAUAAUCUCUGGAAGCCAAAGGGCUAAGUGACACGUUCCCUGUAUGCCUGUCUGGCUAUCAGGGACGUCUCUUUGUUGUGAAUUCUGUCACUUCCUGUCAAAAGAGGGCUUUGGAACUGAAGUUACUCUUGAGAGCAUCAGGUAAAAUUUUUGAAUUAAAAUAAAACCAGUUGGCCAGGCGCAGUGGCUCACGCCUGUAAUCCCAGCACUUUGGGAGGCCGAGGCGGGCGGAUCACUUGAGGUCAGGAGUUUGAGACCACCCUGGCCAACAUGGCGAAACCCCCUCUCUACUAAAAAUACAAAAGUUAGCCGGCAUGGUAGCUCAUGCCUGUAAUCCCAGCUACUUGGGAGGCUGAGGCAGGAGAAUCGCUUGCACCGAGGAGGCGGAGUUUGCAGUGAGCCGAGAUCGCGACACUGCACUCCAGCCUGGCGACGGAAUGACACUCCGUCUCAAAAAUAAAUAAAUAAAACCAGUUGACAAAGGAAGCUGUGCUGAAGUAAUAGAGAUUUUAUAAUAGGAAGGAGCACAUGGGAGGGCUCCUGACUUCUUGAGACGCGACUGUCACCGAGGAAUAGGCGGGACGUUAUCAGAGGCGGAGCCCCUGCUGGCUACUCCAAGAGCCAGGUCUACCUCAAAUCCCGAACUCACAAACCUACUAGUGAGUGCUGAGCACUCCUCCAGCAGCCUCACACAGGGAGAUGCCAGGAAGAACCAACAAGCCCACUCCAUCCUGGUGGAAAUAGCUGUUAUUCCACUGGUAAUCCAUUUAGACCCGAAAAAAGGAAAAUAACAGAGGACCGUGAAUAGAACGAUUCUUCAGCAGGUUCAGAAUCUCCAACAUUCUGCUACAGCCGAGAUAAAUAAACUGAAGUUCUGCUGAACAAGAAAGGAUGUCAGUACAACCUAAAAUCAUUUGCCAGAAAAUAUGAAAAUACUGAAUCCUUCCUUUUCUGGAGGGUGGUCUUGAAGUCUCUCACCAGAAGAACACAUACUCGAAGCGGGGAAAAUGGAGCCCACUGAGCAAUGCAAGUUGGGCUCCAUUGUCAGAGUAACCACACCUGCAGAAUGGGACAUGCUUUGUUUGCCCUAACCCAAGGCCAGAUUUCUUUUUAGUUAGAAAAAAAAAAUGGUUUUAAGUAAGAAUGUUGUGCAAGGGAUAGAGUGGCGGGAAUCGUAGAAGAAGAUCACGUCCAACAACCACAGUGCACCACAAGUUCUUGGAACCUGCUGCUGCCUUCAUAUUUGGCACUAACCAGCCUAUUGUCCUGUCUAGACAAGUGCUACAGGCUGAGUAAACAGGGAAUUGCUGCAUAAAGCCUCUAUUCAUCCAGAAUGAAAAUGUGUCAAUGUGCAGCCUUUUAGAGUCCAAGGGGGCCUUUGUACAGAGAAAGAACUGUUUACAGUCACUUUGGUUUUCAAUUAGUAGUCACUUAUUAAUGUUACAAAAUUUAAAACCCAUCUGCCUUAAAUUUUAAGUGCAAUUUACAAGACAUUUGAUUUUAUUUGAAAUUCUAAUAAAAUAUGAGUCACUUUUAGUUAUUAUUUUAUUAAUACCUGAUUAACUUAAGCUAAACAGGCUAAAUUCCUUUUAAUAGCCAUUCCCAUUUACAAAGUUAGUUAAUUCCCCAAGUUCUUAGUCAUUUCCAUAAGCAUUUUAACUAUAUUUGCAAAUUUCACAUAUUUAAGGUUCUCUUCUAGGAGUUCAAAUGCUUAAAGGGUAAACUAAACAUUCCUUACAAGCAAUACAAUUUUAUAAUCUAAUAAAUUAGACUACAGAUAGAUAGAUAUUGAUAUAGAUAUAUUAAUGCACCACAUGACCACAUACACCAAUGAUGUUUGUCCCAUAAGAUUAAAAUGGAGUUGAAAAAUUCCUAUUGCCUAGUAAUAUAAUAGCCAUCGUAAUGUCAUAAGGCAACACAUUACUCAUGUAUUUGUGGUGAUGCUGGUGUAAACAAACCUACCGAGCUGCCAGUCCUAUAAAAGUCUAGCACAUACAAUUCUGUACAGUGCAUAAUACUUGAUAAUGUUAAUAAAUGGCUGUUACUGAUUUACGUAUUUGCUAUAUUUCUUCUGCUAAUUUAGAGUGUACUCUUUCUACUCAGAAAAAUAAAAAACUUAACUGUAAAACAGCUUCACACAGGUCCCUCAAGAGGUAUCCAGAAGUUGUUGUUAUCAUAGGAGAUGACAGCUCUAUGUGUGUUAUUGCCCCCAAAGACUUUCCAGUGGGACAAGAUGUGGAGGUAGAAGACCGUGAGAUUGAUGACCCUGACCCUGUGUAGGCCUAGGCUAAUUUGUGUGUUUGUUUCUUAGUUUUUAACAAAAAAGUCUAAAAAGUAAAAUAAAAUAAGUUUUAAUUUUAAAAGCUUAUAGAAUAAGAAUAUAAAGAAAGAAAAUAUUUUCAUACAACUGUACAAUGUAUUUGGGUUUUAAGCUGUGUUAUUACAAAAGAAUAAAAAGUUAAAAAGCAUUUAAAGAUUUAUAAAGUAAAAAAGUUGCUGAAUGGGACAUGCUUUGUUUGCCCUAAUCCAAGGCCAGAUUUUAGUAAGCUAAAGUUAAUUUUUUAUUGAAGAAGGAAAAUUUUUAAAAAUAAAUUUAGGGUGGCCCAAGUGUAUAGUAUUAACAGAAUCUACAGUAGUAUAUAGUAACAUCCUAUGCCUCCCAUUCACUCACCACUCACUCACUGACUUACCCAGAGCAACUUCCAGUCCUGCAAGCUCCAUUCACGGUAAGUGCCCUAUACAAGUAUACCAUUGUUUAUCUUUUAUACCAUAUUUUAAUUGUAUCUUUUCUAUGUUUAAACAUGCUUAGAUACACAAAUACUUACCAUUGUGUCAUAACUGCCUACAGUAUUCACUACAGUAACAUGCUGUACAGGCUUGUAGCCUAGGAGCAACAGGCCAUACCAUCUAGCCUAGGUGUGUAGUAGGCUCUGCCAUCUGGGUUUGUGUAAGUACACUCGAUGAUGUUCGCACAAUGAUGACAUCACCUAACAAUGCAUUUCCCAGAAAAUAUCUCCAUUGUUAGUUCAACCAUUGUGGAAGACAGUGUGGCGAUUCCUCAAGGAUCUGGAACCAGAAAUACCAUUUGACCUAGCAAUCCCAUUACUGGGUAUAUAUCCAAAGGAUUAUAAAUCAUUCUACUAUAAAGACACAUACACACGUGUGUUUAUUGAAGCACUAUUUACAAUAGCAAAGACUUGGAACCAAUCCAAAUACCCAUCAAUGAUAGACUGGAUAAAGAAAAUGUGGCACAUAUACACCAUGGAAUACUAUGCAGCCAUAAAAAAGAAUGAGUUCAUGUGCUUUGCAGGGGCAUGGAUGAAGCUGGAAACCAUCAUUCUCAGCAAACUAACACAGGAACAGAAAACCAAACACUAUAUAUUCUCACUCUUAAGUGGGAGUUGAACAAUGAAAACACAUGGACACAGGGAGGGGAACAUCACACA